rnacentral:rRNA from 1 species
CGACCCCUUGCGGCCGUCCUUUACAAUGCAAGUCGAACGAUGAUGCCCAGCUUGCUGGGCGGAUUAGUGGCGAACGGGUGAGUAAUACGUGAGUAACCUGCCCUUGACUCUGGGAUAAGCCUGGGAAACUGGGUCUAAUACUGGAUACUACCUCUUACCGCAUGGUGGGUGGUGGAAAGGGUUUUACUGGUUUUGGAUGGGCUCACGGCCUAUCAGCUUGUUGGUGGGGUAAUGGCUCACCAAGGCGACGACGGGUAGCCGGCCUGAGAGGGUGACCGGCCACACUGGGACUGAGACACGGCCCAGACUCCUACGGGAGGCAGCAGUGGGGAAUAUUGCACAAUGGGCGGAAGCCUGAUGCAGCGACGCCGCGUGAGGGAUGACGGCCUUCGGGUUGUAAACCUCUUUCAGUAGGGAAGAAGCGAGAGUGACGGUACCUGCAGAAGAAGCGCCGGCUAACUACGUGCCAGCAGCCGCGGUAAUACGUAGGGCGCAAGCGUUGUCCGGAAUUAUUGGGCGUAAAGAGCUCGUAGGCGGUUUGUCGCGUCUGCUGUGAAAGCCCGGGGCUCAACCCCGGGUCUGCAGUGGGUACGGGCAGACUAGAGUGCAGUAGGGGAGACUGGAAUUCCUGGUGUAGCGGUGAAAUGCGCAGAUAUCAGGAGGAACACCGAUGGCGAAGGCAGGUCUCUGGGCUGUUACUGACGCUGAGGAGCGAAAGCAUGGGGAGCGAACAGGAUUAGAUACCCUGGUAGUCCAUGCCGUAAACGUUGGGCACUAGGUGUGGGGGACAUUCCACGUUUUCCGCGCCGUAGCUAACGCAUUAAGUGCCCCGCCUGGGGAGUACGGGCGCAAGGCUAAAACUCAAAGGAAUUGACGGGGGCCCGCACAAGCGGCGGAGCAUGCGGAUUAAUUCGAUGCAACGCGAAGAACCUUACCAAGGCUUGACAUUCACCGGACCGCCCAGAGAUGGGGUUUCCCUUCGGGGCUGGUGGACAGGUGUGCAUGGUUGUCGUCAGCUCGUGUCGUGAGAUGUUGGGGUUAAGU